ensembl:lncRNA LINC02432 long intergenic non-protein coding RNA 2432
GGCAACCCGCUCCGGUGUCCUUCCAUGCUGUGGAGGCUCUGUUGUUUCGCUCUUUCUACUGCUUACUCUUCGGGUCCACACUGCUUUUAUGAGCUGUAACACUCACCCUGAAGGUUUGCAACUUGACUCCUGAAGCCAGCAAGACCACGAGCCCCAGGGAGGAACGAACAACUCCAGACGCGCUGCCUUAAGAGCUGUAACACUCACCGAGAAGGUCUGCAGCUUCACUCCUGAGCCAGCGAGGCCACGAACCCACCAGAAGGAAGAAACUCUGAACACAUCCGAACAUCAGAAGGAACAAACUCCAGACGUGCCACCUUAAGAGCUGUUAACACUCACCGCGAGGGUCCGCGGCUUCAUUUUUGAAGUCAGUGAGACCAAGAACCAACCAAUUCGGGACACAAUACCAACUCUUUCAUGCCAGGAGAAGCCUCCUUAAAAAAUUUCGGUGAUUAACAGCAGCACAUGGGUCAAAAUCUCCUGAAAGUUGAGCAGGGGAGCUGUAGAAGAAUUCCUCCUUUUCUCGCAGAUGAAAUCUUAUGAUAUAGCAGGGGUUACCUGGCCAAGAAGGAACACAGAGGAGAACAAAGAAAAUUCAAGGAACUAAAUUCCUUCUCCACCUCAACCACCAGCAUUGAUACUCCAUCACUUAUGUACUGCAUCAAGCCGUCCUCAGAGGUGAGGAAGGUGCUGUCAAGACUAGAAGCAUGUGUCCCUCUCUCCAUUGCAAGAUGGGACAUAGAGAGGAGAAAAGUGGCAGACAGAAGUCUUAGGUAUGUCUUUAUCAGCAGCAUGAAAAUGGACUAAUACAGGGACCAAUGAUUGCAUCUACCUCAUGGACUUUUUAUGAGAAUUGACUGAUUUAAUAAAUGUAAAAGACUUAGAACACUGCCUCAUCUAUUGUAAACAGUCAAUAAAUAUUAGUAUCAAUUUUCAUUGAAUCCUAAUCAGUAUAACUAUAAUGUUACAUUCAUGAAUAAGACAAAGGCUGGGACAAAAUAAAUGAGACACUUCACUCAGACCUCUU